rnacentral:lncRNA from 1 species
ACUUAAGGAGCUAUUCUUGUACUUACUUGUGCUCUAAACUGAUUUUAUCUUGUGAGUAAUUGUUUUUGUUUUGGAGGGUUUCCAAAACAAGGAAAGGUUGAUCCGAACCUGAAAUCGGAGUGUAUUGAGUUGGCUUGUACCCGGGAAACAAGUGGACUAGCUUGAGAUAGCUAGUGUCGGAGUUUCCGACGGUUGUAUUCGGGUUGAAUACAAAGUAUAGUGGAUUGGAAUUCCCAAGUAGGAGCUUGGGGAGUGGAUGUAGGUGCAAGGUUGGCACCGAACCACUAUAAAUCAUUGUGUUUGUGGCAUGCUUUAUUGUUUCUCUUUAAUUCCCCAUUAUAUCC